rnacentral:rRNA from 1 species
AUUGAACGCUGGCGGCAGGCCUAACACAUGCAAGUCGAACGAGUGGCGGACGGGUGAGUAAUGUCUGGGAAACUGCCUGCUGGAGGGGGAUAACUACUGGAAACGGUAGCUAAUACCGCAUACCAUCAGAUGUGCCCAGAUGGGAUUAGCUUGUUGGUGGGGUAACGGGUCACCAAGGCGACGAUCCCUAGCUGGUCUGAGAGGAUGACCAGCCACACUGGAACUGGGACACGGUCCAAACUCCUAAGUGAGGCAGCAGUGGGGAAUAGUGCACGAUGGGCGCAAUCAUGAUGCAGCCAGGCCGCGUGUAUGAAGAAGGCCUUCGGGUUUGAAAGUACUUUCAGCGGGGAGGCGUUAACCGCAGAAGAAGCACCGGCUAACUCCGUGCCAGCAGCCGAGGUAAUUC